rnacentral:rRNA from 1 species
CCCUUAGAUGUCCUGGGCCGCACGCGUGCUACACUGACGCAUACAGCGAGCACUUUCCAGUUCCGAGAGGCUACUGGUAAUCAUCAAUAUGCGUCGUGAUGGGGAUAGAUCUUUGGAAUUCUGGAUCUUGAACGAGGAAUGCCUAGUAAUCGCAGGUCAUUAGCCUGCGAUGAUUAAGUCCCUGCCCUUUGUACACACCGCCCGUCGCUACUACCGAUUUCGAGUGGUCAGGUGAAUCUUUCGGACUGUGGGCGCCCUCGAGGUGUUCGCGGAAAGUCAGGUAAAUCUUAUCACUUAGAGGAAGUAAAAGUCGUAACA